rnacentral:misc_RNA from 1 species
AACCAAAUGGACCCAAUGGGUUCCGUGUUGGGCCUCGCCUAAGGGCGUUGCCUCAAGACCAUCAGUCUAACAGCGGACGAGUUCCUUUAGGACAGACCGUUGGAUGACUAUAUUUCUG